AACGAACGCUGGCGGCAUGCCUAACACAUGCAAGUCGAACGAGACCUUCGGUUCUAGUGGCGCACGGGUGCGUAACGCGUGGGAACCUGCCCUUAGGUUCGGAAUAACUCCCCGAAAGGGGUGCUAAUACCGGAUAAUGUCUUCGGACCAAAGAUUUAUCGCCUUUGGAUGGGCCCGCGUUGGAUUAGCUAGUUGGUAGGGUAAAAGCCUACCAAGGCGACGAUCCAUAGCUGGUCUGAGAGGAUGAUCAGCCACACUGGGACUGAGACACGGCCCAGACUCCUACGGGAGGCAGCAGUGGGGAAUAUUGGACAAUGGGCGAAAGCCUGAUCCAGCAAUGCCGCGUGAGUGAUGAAGGCCUUAGGGUUGUAAAGCUCUUUUAACCGGGAUGAUAAUGACAGUACCGGGAGAAUAAGCUCCGGCUAACUCCGUG
rnacentral:rRNA from 1 species